UACGGAGGGUGCAAGCGUUGCUCGGAAUUAUUGGGCGUAAAGCGUCUGUAGGUGGUUCGAAAAGUCCACUGUUAAAAAUUGAGGCUUAACUUCAAAGAUGCCGUGGAAACUUUCAAACUAGAGUAUGGUAGGGGUAGAGGGAAUUUCCAGUGGAGCGGUGAAAUGCGCAGAUAUCAGGAGGAACACCGAUGGCGAAGGCAGAUCUCUGGGACGUUACUGACGCUGAGACGCGAAAGCGUGGGGAGCAAACAGG
rnacentral:rRNA from 1 species